AUUGAACGCUGGCGGCAUGCUUUACACAUGCAAGUCGAACGGUAACAGGUUAAGCUGACGAGUGGCGAACGGGUGAGUAAUGCAACGGAACGUGCCUGGUCGUGGGGGAUAACGCAGCGAAAGCUGCGCUAAUACCGCAUACGAUCUGAGGAUGAAAGCGGGGGACCGUAAGGCAGCGCGCGAUCGGAGCGGCCGAUGUCAGAUUAGGUAUUCGGUGGGGUGAAGGCCCACCAAGACGACGAUCUGUCGCUGGUCUGAGAGGACGACCAGCCAAACUGGUACUGAGACACGGCCCAGACUCCUACGGGAGGCAGCAGUGGGGAAUUUUGGACAAUGGGCGAAAGCCUGAUCCAGCAAUGCCGCGUGCAGGAAGAAGGCCUUCGGGUUGUAAACUGCUUUUGUACGGAGCGAAAAGGUCCCUUCUAAUACAAGGGGCUCAUGACGGUACCGUAAGAAUAAGCACCGGCUAACUACGUGCCAGCCGCCGCCGUAA
rnacentral:rRNA from 1 species